rnacentral:lncRNA from 1 species
UUGGGCCAAAAAGAAUUGGUAAACCAAUAGAAAAGUGCAAAAUGCAAAGAUGAGAAUUUUCAUCUUUCACCUGCAAAUAUGGAAUGUCUGUAUGUCUUGCAUGAACUAAACUUGUGCUGGGCUUUCAGAAAUAGUUACCAUCUAAUUUCCCUGUGCUAUACCAAUUUGCUCAGUAUUUAAAAUGAGAGCUUAGCUGUUCACUGCAGCCAGUAGGGACAGAACCUACCUUCUCAAACAGUUUGUCAGCAAAACUUAAAUCCACACUGCUUUACAAACUUGUAUCAUCCCUGGAAUGAAAGCACUGCCAGCAGUCGAAGAACAGCAGCCAAAUGUGUUUAAUGUGCUUCCCCAUAAGGAGGGCAGGAGCAUUCUGGGCAAGAAAUUUGUGGAAGUGCAUAGCUUGAUUUCUUCUGAAAAGAUGAGGUGAUCCUUUUGUGACCCCGUAGAAAAGUAAUGCUCUUUUCUUCUUGGCUUGUUGAAGGUCUUUGGCCAAAGGCAGCUGCACACCUGCACUGUGAGGGAUGGCCAUGGAUGCUCAGUGCAGCAAUAGCAGGACAGUUUCUCUUCUUAGGGAUACUCAAUGACAGAAAAUGAAUCAGAAGAAAGAACUUCAGAAGAGCUGGGAAGGAUAGGAGAGAAAAAUGAAGUGAACUUUAAGGUUUGCAGGCUGAAUCAGAACACAGAUGGAAGCAGACAGCUCCCUGCACCUCAGUUUCAUGGAAGCAGACCGCAGUCUGCAGACCAAGUUACUGACUUGGAAACAGAGUUCAAAUCCUAUUAAAUUUAAGUCAGUAUGGUGAUUUCUUUUGCAAUGGGAAAAGCAUUGAGAGAAAACAAUUGUACAAAGUCCACACCUAAGGCAAAGAAAAAGAGUACCUGCCAAAGGGUCUGACUAGCUGAAGGACUGUGGUCUCAUUUUUCAAAAGGAACUUAAUUUCCCGGGUGUCCAACAAAGUGUGGACACCUUAAAGGGGCAUCUUGUAAGGUACAGCUCAUAGUAGCUUAAGAUGAGUCUAGAGCUGCUGUUCAACUCUCCAGCUUCCUACAUGGGGGUGCCAGAGCUGCAGCCCUACCUUCCUGCAAGCUCUCGUACAAGGUACAGUGACAGAACCGAGCCCAGCC